CCAGCUUGCUGGGUGGAUUAGUGGCGAACGGGUGAGUAACACGUGAGUAACCUGCCCUUGACUCUGGGAUAAGCACUGGAAACGGUGUCUAAUACCGGAUAUUUCAGCUGGCCGCAUGGUCUGGUUGUGGAAAGAAUUUUGGUCAAGGAUGGACUCGCGGCCUAUCAGGUAGUUGGUGAGGUAAUGGCUCACCAAGCCUACGACGGGUAGCCGGCCUGAGAGGGUGACCGGCCACACUGGGACUGAGACACGGCCCAGACUCCUACGGGAGGCAGCAGUGGGGAAUAUUGCACAAUGGGCGAAAGCCUGAUGCAGCAACGCCGCGUGAGGGACGACGGCCUUCGGGUUGUAAACCUCUUUUAGUAGGGAAGAAGCGAAAGUGACGGUACCUGCAGAAAAAGCACCGGCUAACUACGUGCCAGCAGCCGCGGUAAUACGUAGGGUGCAAGCGUUGUCCGGAAUUAUUGGGCGUAAAGAGCUCGUAGGCGGUUUGUCGCGUCUGCUGUGAAAACUGGAGGCUCAACCUCCAGCCUGCAG
rnacentral:rRNA from 1 species